GACGAACGCUGGCGGCGUGCUUAACACAUGCAAGUCGAACGGAAAGGCCCUGCUUUUGUGGGGUGCUCGAGUGGCGAACGGGUGAGUAACACGUGAGUAACCUGCCCUUGACUUUGGGAUAACUUCAGGAAACUGGGGCUAAUACCGGAUAGGAGCUCCUGCUGCAUGGUGGGGGUUGGAAAGUUUCGGCGGUUGGGGAUGGACUCGCGGCUUAUCAGCUUGUUGGUGGGGUAGGGCUUACCAAGGCUUUGACGGGUAGCCGGCCUGAGAGGGUGACCGGCCACAUUGGGACUGAGAUACGGCCCAGACUCCUACGGGAGGCAGCAGUGGGGAAUAUUGCACAAUGGGCGGAAGCCUGAUGCAGCAACGCCGCGUGCGGGAUGACGGCCUUCGGGUUGUAAACCGCUUUCGCCUGUGACGAAGCGUGAGUGACGGUAAUGGGUAAAGAAGCACCGGCUAACUACGUG
rnacentral:rRNA from 1 species